GUGUGGUGAGUCAGAGCUGAACUAUUAAGCCGUAACACAUGGCUGACAUCUGGAACUCACCCGCAAGAUUUUGUCAUUUGAAUAUUGGAAGCCUCAGCUUGUUACUCUCUUCCCUCCAGGAUGUAGCCACACUUUCUGCAUCCAGAGCUCAUAAAAACAGAGAAUUAUAAAAUGGACAAGAGGACCCACCAUUGUGUGUUUUGCAGCAGGGACUCACUAUGAGGUCCCAAGCACUGCCUCUUGGAGCUCCUGGGGCGUCUCCAGGCUGUUUGCAAGCAGCUCACAUUCUUCCUGUUCCUGCACAGUGGUUACAGUGGGAUGGAAUGGGCUGCAUGGGAACACUCACUACACGGAGUUGCAAAGGUUUUGGUGAGCACAAGACAUGCACUCAUUGCACACUGAGGUGGGAGCUGUUUUAAAAAAAUGAUACCAGCCAGGCUGGCUGCCCCUGUGCAGCCCUGCUCAGGUGUCAGGUUG
rnacentral:lncRNA from 1 species